rnacentral:rRNA from 1 species
GUCUACGGCCGUGCCACCCUGAACAAGCCCGAUCCCGGCUGAUCUCUGAAGCUAAGCAGGGUCAGGCCUGGUUAGUACUUGGAUGGGAGACCAUCAAGGAAGACCACGUGCUGUAGGGG